UAGACCGCCUGGGGAGUACGGCCGCAAGGUUAAAACUCAAAUGAAUUGACGGGGGCCCGCACAAGCGGUGGAGCAUGUGGUUUAAUUCGAUGCAACGCGAAGAACCUUACCUGGUCUUGACAUCCACAGAACUUUCCAGAGAUGGAUUGUGCCUUCGGGAACUGUGAGACAGGUGCUGCAUGGCUGUCGUCAGCUCGUGUUGUGAAAUGUUGGGUUAAGUCCCGCAACGAGCGCAACCCUUAUCCUUUGUUGCCAGCGAUUAGGUCGGGAACUCAAAGGAGACUGCCAGUGAUAAACUGGAGGAAGGUGGGGAUGACGUCAAGUCAUCAUGGCCCUUACGACCAGGGCUACACACGUGCUACAAUGGCGCAUACAAAGAGAAGCGACCUCGCGAGAGCAAGCGGACCUCAUAAAGUGCGUCGUAGUCCGGAUUGGAGUCUGCAACUCGACUCCAUGAAGUCGGAAUCGCUAGUAAUCGUGGAUCAGAAUGCCACGGUGAAUACGUUCCCGGGCCUUGUACACACCGCCCGUCACACCAUGGGAGUGGGUUGCAAAAGAAGUAGGUAGCUUAACCUUCGGGAGGGCGCUUACCACUUUGUGAUUCAUGACUGGGGUGAAGUCGUAACAAGGUAACCGUAGGGGAACCUGCGGUUGGAUCACCUCCUUACCUUAAAGAA
rnacentral:rRNA from 1 species